UACGUAGGGUGCAAGCGUUAAUCGGAAUUACUGGGCGUAAAGCGUGCGCAGGCGGUUGUGUAAGACAGAAGGGAAAUCCCCGGGCUCAACCUGGGAACUGCAUUUGUGACUGCACAGCUGGAGUGCGGCAGAGGGGGAUGGAAUUCCGCGUGUAGCAGUGAAAUGCGUAGAUAUGCGGAGGAACACCGAUGGCGAAGGCAAUCCCCUGGGCCUGCACUGACGCUCAUGCACGAAAGCGUGGGGAGCAAACAGG
rnacentral:rRNA from 1 species